rnacentral:rRNA from 1 species
UACAGAAGGUGCAAGCGUUGUUCGGAAUUACUGGGCGUAAAGCGCGUGUAGGUGGCGACUUAAGUCGGAUGUGAAAUCCCUCGGCUUAACCGAGGAAGUGCAUUCGAUACUGGGUCGCUUGAGUACUGGAGGGGAUGGCGGAAUUCCCGGUGUAGAGGUGAAAUUCGUAGAUAUCGGGAGGAACACCUGUGGCGAAGGCGGCCAUCUGGACAGUCACUGACACUGAGACGCGAAAGCGUGGGUAGCAAACAGG